rnacentral:rRNA from 1 species
AUUGAACGCUGGCGGCAUGCCUUACACAUGCAAGUCGAACGGUAACGGGCCUUCGGGUGCCGACGAGUGGCGAACGGGUGAGUAAUACAUCGGAACGUGCCCGAUCGUGGGGGAUAACGGGGCGAAAGAUUUGCUAAUACCGCAUACGAUCUGAGGAUGCGACUAGGGGACCGCAAGGCCUUGCGUGGCCGGUGCGGCCGGUGGCAGCGUAGGUAGUUGGUGGGAUAAAGGUUUCACAAGCCGAGGAUCUGCAGCUGGUCUGAGGGGAUCGUCAGCCACAAUGGGACUGAGACACGGCCCAGACUCCGACGGGAGGAAGCAGUGGGGAAUUUUGGGGAAUGGGCGAAAGCCUGAUCCAGCCAUGCCGGGUGCAGGAUGAAGGCCUUCGGGUUGUAAACUGCUUUUGUACGGAACGAAAAGCCUUCUUUUAAUACAGGAGGGUCAUGACGGUACCGUAAGAAUAAGCACCGGCUAACUACGUG